rnacentral:rRNA from 1 species
UACGUAGGGUGCGAGCGUUGUCCGGAAUUAUUGGGCGUAAAGGGCUCGUAGGCGGUUUGUCGCGUCGGGAGUGAAAUCAUCUGGCUUAACUGGGUGCUUGCUUUCGAUACGGGCAGACUAGAGGUAUGCAGGGGAGAACGGAAUUCCUGGUGUAGCGGUGAAAUGCGCAGAGAUCAGGAAGAACACCGGUGGCGAAGGCGGGUCUCUGGGCAGUAACUGACGCUGAGGAGCGAAAGCGUGGGGAGCGAACAGG